rnacentral:rRNA from 1 species
GACGAACGCUGGCGGCGUGCUUAACACAUGCAAGUCGAACGGAAAGGCCCUGCUUUUGUGGGGUGCUCGAGUGGCGAACGGGUGAGUAACACGUGAGUAACCUGCCCUUGACUUUGGGAUAACUUCAGGAAACUGGGGCUAAUACCGGAUAGGAGCUCCUGCUGCAUGGUGGGGGUUGGAAAGUUUCGGCGGUUGGGGAUGGACUCGCGGCUUAUCAGCUUGUUGGUGGGGUAGUGGCUUACCAAGGCUUUGACGGGUAGCCGGCCUGGGAGGGUGACCGGCCACAUUGGGACUAAGAUACGGCCCAAACUCCUACGGGAGGCAGCAGUGGGGAAUAUUGCACAAUGGGCGGAAGCCUGAUGCAGCAACGCAGCGUGCGGGAUGACGGCCUUCGGGUUGUAAACCGCUUUCGCCUGUGACGAAGCGUGAGUGACGGUAAUGGGUAAAGAAGCACCGGCUAACUACGUG